AUGAACGCUGGCGGCGUGCCUAAUACCUGCAGGUCGAGCGAACAGAUAAGGAGCUUGCUCCUUUGACGUUAGCGGCGGACGGGUGAGUAACACGUGGGUAACCUACCUAUAAGACUGGGAUAACUUCGGGAAACCGGAGCUAAUACCGGAUAAUAUUUCGAACCGCAUGGUUCGAUAGUGAAAGAUGGUUUUGCUAUCACUUAUAGAUGGACCCGCGCCGUAUUAGCUAGUUGGUAAGGUAACGGCUUACCAAGGCGACGAUACGUAGCCGACCUGAGAGGGUGAUCGGCCACACUGGAACUGAGACACGGUCCAGACUCCUACGGGAGGCAGCAGUAGGGAAUCUUCCGCAAUGGGCGAAAGCCUGACGGAGCAACGCCGCGUGAGUGAUGAAGGUCUUCGGAUCGUAAAACUCUGUUAUUAGGGAAGAACAUACGUGUAAGUAACUGUGCACGUCUUGACGGUACCUAAUCAGAAAGCCACGGCUAACUACGUG
rnacentral:rRNA from 1 species